ACUUCAUGGAGAGUUUGAUCCUGGCUCAGGACGAACGCUGGCGGCGUGCCUAAUACAUGCAAGUCGAGCGCAGGAAACUGACGGAACUCUUCGGAGGGAAGGCAGCGGAAUGAGCGGCGGACGGGUGAGUAACACGUAAGGAACCUGCCUCAAGGAUUGGGAUAACUCCGAGAAAUCGGAGCUAAUACCGGAUAGUUCAACGGACCGCAUGGUCCGCUGAUGAAAGGCGCUCCGGCG
rnacentral:rRNA from 1 species